rnacentral:rRNA from 1 species
GACGAACGCUGGCGGCGUGCUUAACACAUGCAAGUCGAACGGAAAGGCCCUGCUUUUGUGGGGUGCUCGAGUGGCGAACGGGUAAGUAACACGUGAGUAACCUGCCCUUGACUUUGGGAUAACUUCAGGAAACUGGGGCUAAUACCGGAUAGGAGCUCCUGCUGCAUGGUGGGGGUUGGAAAGUUUCGGCGGUUGGGGAUGGACUCGCGGCUUAUCAGCUUGUUGGUGGGGUAGUGGCUUACCAAGGCUUUGACGGGUAGCCGGCCUGAGAGGGUGACCGGCCACAUUGGGACUGAGAUACGGCCCAGACUCCUACGGGAGGCAGCAGUGGGGAAUAUUGCACAAUGGGCGGAAGCCUGAUGCAGCAACGCCGCGUGCGGGAUGACGGCCUUCGGGUGGUAAACCGCUUUCGCCUGUGACGAAGCGUGAGUGACGGUAAUGGGUAAAGAAGCACCGGCUAACUACGU